AUCAAGGAAAUAACAUGUAUCUGUGUGGUUUGUUCCUGCUGUUGAUCGGCCAUUGCUGCGUUUAAGGUAUGUUGUGCCCGGUGCUACUUAAUGCUAUAUAAAACCUAUAGCUGUACAUAAAACACCUUGAUAUGCAAAUAACCCAGUUAAAAUAAAUGGGUUGCGCCAUCUAGCAUUACAUGACGACAUGCCAAACACUUUGCCACCUAGGAUAGUCUAUAUUUGUAUUUCAUCCAGUUAUCUCAUAUUUCCAGUAAAAAAACUCUUCGCUUUGGGGUUUUGGAAUAAUCUUCAGGAAGUUGGUGACGAGUUAGUAGAACUUAUAGAAAUGUCGCUUUCAUUAGACAAUGACAUGCCAAAGACGCCAUUGCCUAAGGUAGUCUUUGGACUUAAGCUAUCUCAUAUGUACAAUAACAAGAUUUGUCACUUCAGUUUUUAGAAUAAUCAUUGAUAAGUUGGUUAAGAAUUAGAGCUAAAGUUACGCUCAUGAGUAGUAUUUUUUGUACAAACAUCCAGUUAAUUCUUGAGAUACAAUAGAGACACUAUAUUAGUACUACUUUAGUCAAAUACAUUGUCCACUGGUUGUUGUAGUGAAAUGUCGCUCUAGCUAUUAAUUUACAGAAUUGUAGAAAAUAGCCCCUACGAAAUUACAAAGAGCGAGAAUAAGGAAGCUGGCAAACUUAGUGCUUCAUGGUAUUUCAGUAGAAAUUACAAAGAGCGAGAAUAAGGAAGCUGGCAAACUUAGUGCUUCAUGGUAUUUCAGUAGAAAGGAAAUAGAAGAGAAUUCUCCGUCUAAGAGGGAUGGCAUUGAUUUAAAGAAAGAGACUUACCUUCGGAAAUCGUAUUGCACUUAUCUACAAGAUUUGGGGAUGCGGCUCAAAGUGUAAGAUAUUUUAUGUCCUUCUAUGCAUUUAUCGAUACUGUAGCCUGUUGGCUGACUGUCCCUUACUUAUCCAAAACAUUGAGUUCUGCUACUUACCCAACCAGAUGUUAAAUAUUUCAAAAUGCGUCUUUAUAUUGUCAUUGUAUCGUAAUUGCUUCUCCUGAUGUGUUUUUGUUUUACACCAGCAUAUAUUUGGUCCAGAGAUGUUCAAUUGUUUGUCUGAUAAGAUAAUAUUUUACUUCUUUAUGGAGCACUCUUAUGGCAAGCACAUUUUUUCUGGAUGAACUGCUGGUUGGUUUUUUUCUCCAUAAAUACGAUAAAUUAUCAUAUCAUAUGAAAUGUCAAGAUAUACUGAAAAUAUGCCCUGUAUGAUGGUGGUCUGGCAUUUUAGAAUUGUUUUGGGCAAUUCAUGUUUGUAUGCAUUUUUUCUUUUGGCCCUUGAAGGCAUCUUUAAUAGUUUGCAAUUGCGAUAGAAAUUGCUGUGCUCGUAUCUUUAGUUUUAAUUACAAUUGGUCGAUCUACAACGAGUGCGUCUGAUUCCAACUCAUCAAGGUGAGCUCCCUCUUUUAUUCUUCUCAGGUAAUGAGGCGUCAGUGUAGGCCCAAUCUUUUUGUUUGUUGCUUUGAAGAGUGUUGUCAUGUUGUGGAAAGGCAACAUGUGCUUGAUAUGUGGAGUUGGUGUUGAGCCUGGCGGUAGUAGACAGGGAAGGCACCCAUCUCACUUGAUCUUGAGAGUUGAUUCAUAUCUUCUUUUCUUGACCUGAUUGAGUUCCUGUAUAUGCAAGGAUAAAGAAGAAGGGGCAUUGUCGUGGUUGUUGCUUAAGGUGUUGGUCAGGAGCUGAUUGCCGGGACUGAUGACAAGAACGGAGAGCAGGAUGAGUAUGUCAACAUGAUGUUCCUUGAUGUUGGCCUUCUUUUAUAAAGUUCACAUGCAAACUCUCCUCCAUGGUUAGAAAAAACUAAUUUAAACAUUUUGUUUCUUUGGUGGUUACUCAUUUCUCUUACCAUUGUUGUAUCAAAACAAUUGUAUUUUCGUUGAUGGCCACUUAGGCUCAUUUUUGAGGAGAAUGAGAUGUGGAAUAAACUACUCUGAAAUGGUUGGUUCCCUUCAGACAGUUUAUUAGCUAACUAAUUUUGGCUGCUGGUGCACAUGAUACAAUUGUGCUAUGUUGUUUCCAUCUUGCAUUUUAUGUGAGCUUAAACAGACAAUCAAUUAAACUUUUAC
rnacentral:lncRNA from 1 species